UUACGGGAGGCAGCAGUAAGGAAUUUUCUGCAAUGGGCGAAAGCCUGACAGAGCAAUACCGCGUGAGGGAUGAAGGCCUAUGGGUUGUAAACCUCUUUUCUCAAGGAGGAAGAACUGACGUUACUUGAGGAAUAAGCAUCGGCUAACCCUGUGCCAGCAGCCGCGGUAAUACAGGGGAUGCGAGUGUUAUCCGGAAUUAUUGGGCGUAAAGCGUCUGCAGGUGGAUUUGUAAGUCUUUUGGUAAAACUCCAGGCUUAACCUGGAAUCUGCAAAAGAAACUAUUUAUCUAGAGUAUGGUAGAGGUAAAGGGAAUUUCUAGUGGAGCGGUGAAAUGCGUAGAUAUUAGAAAGAACACCAAUAGCGAAGGCACCUUACUGGGCCAUUACUGACACUCAGAGACGAAAGCUAGGGGAGCAAACAGGAUUAGAUACCCGUGUAGUC
rnacentral:rRNA from 1 species